UACGAAGGGUGCAAGCGUUACUCGGAAUUACUGGGCGUAAAGCGUGCGCAGGCGUCUUGCAAGACAGAUGUGAAAUCCCCGGGCUCAACCUGGGAACUGCAUUUGUGACUGCAAGGCUAGAGUACGGUAGAGGGGGAUGGAAUUCCGCGUGUAGCAGUGAAAUGCGUAGAUAUGCGGAGGAACACCGAUGGCGAAGGCAAUCCCCUGGACCUGUACUGACGCUCAUGCACGAAAGCGUGGGGAGCAAACAGG
rnacentral:rRNA from 1 species